rnacentral:misc_RNA from 1 species
GAUGAAGAACGUAGCGAAAUGCGAUAAGUAGUGUGAAUUGCAGAAUUCAGUGAAUCAUCGAAUCUUUGAACGCACCUUGCGCCCGCCAGUAUUCUGGCGGGCAUGCCUGUUCGAGCGUCAUUUCAACCAUCAAGCCCCGGGCCUGUGUUGGGGAUCUGCGGCUGCCCGCAGGCCCUGAAAACCAGUGGCGGGCUCGCUGUCACUCCGAGCGUAGUAGCACUCGUAUCUCGCUCAGGGCGUGCCGCGGGCUCCGGCCGUUAAACCGCCUCUUUAGCACCCAAAGGUUGACCUCGGAUCAGGUAGGAGGACCCGCUGAACUUAAGCAUAUCAAUAAGCGGAGGA